rnacentral:lncRNA from 1 species
UGAGAGGUUUGCAAUUAUUCUUACUUCUGGUCAGGUUAGAUAUGCAAUUAGAUCAGAUCCCUGACAGGUUUUUGGCUUCUCUAAUGUCAGGCCUUUAUUAAUCAGACCGUAUGCAGAUGGAAAUGAUUUAUUUUUUGUCAGCCAUUACACAAAUUUGAUUGUCAACAAAAUCUUUGUCAGCUUUCAGCAAACUUUGCAGUAGACCUUUGCAUUGGAGGUGGGGUGCUCACCCUGACCAGAUGUGUUUGGUUUGCUUUAGCAGAGGCAGCUCAGCAUUCCAAACUCAUAGAAUUUACAACCAAAGAGCCUGUAUAGACCUCAUCAACUAAACACUUUGAAGGAAAGGGACGUAUGGGCAGAGGUGACUUCUGGGAUCCUUCCUGGUUUCCUCCUCUGCUGCUGUGCCGCCAGCUCUUCUCAAUAUACUGCUGUUCCACUGGGCCUUGUCCUUUACUUUGUUGGCAAAUAAGGUAAAUGACCCCUAUUCUGGCUGCCCAUAUGCUGCUAACAUCGUUGGUUUUGUUUCAGCAAACUGCAUGAAGAUAGUACAGACAGAUGCCAAAAAAGAGGGCCCCCAUCAGCCCAGUAUGCCCUGCUGUGAACCACCAGCGUGCCAGGAUGCUGCUGAAAAACAAAUGGAAGCUGGCAGCAGCUGAAGGCCUGUGGUGGUUGACCAAUCUGCUCUGAGCUGUUCCAGGAGCCUCCAGAGAACAAGAGGUAUGACAACUUUAUUUCAAAUAUCUUGGGAGGAUAGAAACUGGAACAGUGUAUGUCCUCUGUGGUAUGGCACAAAAUAGAGAAGCACUUAGUGGAUGUUUCUUAUAGCCCAGGUCUCUCCUAGGUGCAACAAGGUCUCACACCUAAGCUAUCUCCUACACUUAAUCUCUUAUUGAGUUUGGAUAAACUGAAUAUAUACUCGUCCAGGCUUACAGCUUACAGAAUUCUCAGUGUGAGCGGCCUGACAGAAAAAGAAAUAUUUUGAUUUUGAGUCCUAAGGGAGGAGCAUGAGGUACAACUGCUCCCUGGGGAUACAGUAGUAAAAAGAAGUCUGCAGAUUGAAGUUUAGCUUGUU